GGUUAAGCGACUAAGCGUACACGGUGGAUGCCCUGGCAGUCAGAGGCGAUGAAGGACGUGCUAAUCUGCGAUAAGCGUCGGUAAGGUGAUAUGAACCGUUAUAACCGGCGAUUUCCGAAUGGGGAAACCCAGUGUGAUUCGUCACACUAUCAUUAACUGAAUCCAUAGGUUAAUGAGGCGAACCGGGGGAACUGAAACAUCUAAGUACCCCGAGGAAAAGAAAUCAACCGAGAUUCCCCCAGUAGCGGCGAGCGAACGGGGAGCAGCCCAGAGCCUGAAUCAGUGUGUGUGUUAGUGGAAGCGUCUGGAAAGGCGUGCGAUACAGGGUGACAGCCCCGUACACAAAAAUGCACAUACUGUGAGCUCGAUGAGUAGGGCGGGACACGUGGUAUCCUGUCUGAAUAUGGGGGGACCAUCCUCCAAGGCUAAAUACUCCUGACUGACCGAUAGUGAACCAGUACCGUGAGGGAAAGGCGAAAAGAACCCCGGCGAGGGGAGUGAAAAAGAACCUGAAACCGUGUACGUACAAGCAGUGGGAGCACGCUUAGGCGUGUGACUGCGUACCUUUUGUAUAAUGGGUCAGCGACUUAUAUUCUGUAGCAAGGUUAACCGAAUAGGGGAGCCGAAGGGAAACCGAGUCUUAACUGGGCGUUAAGUUGCAGGGUAUAGACCCGAAACCCGGUGAUCUAGCCAUGGGCAGGUUGAAGGUUGGGUAACACUAACUGGAGGACCGAACCGACUAAUGUUGAAAAAUUAGCGGAUGACUUGUGGCUGGGGGUGAAAGGCCAAUCAAACCGGGAGAUAGCUGGUUCUCCCCGAAAGCUAUUUAGGUAGCGCCUCGUGAAUUCAUCUCCGGGGGUAGAGCACUGUUUCGGCAAGGGGGUCAUCCCGACUUACCAACCCGAUGCAAACUGCGAAUACCGGAGAAUGUUAUCACGGGAGACACACGGCGGGUGCUAACGUCCGUCGUGAAGAGGGAAACAACCCAGACCGCCAGCUAAGGUCCCAAAGUCAUGGUUAAGUGGGAAACGAUGUGGGAAGGCCCAGACAGCCAGGAUGUUGGCUUAGAAGCAGCCAUCAUUUAAAGAAAGCGUAAUAGCUCACUGGUCGAGUCGGCCUGCGCGGAAGAUGUAACGGGGCUAAACCAUGCACCGAAGCUGCGGCAGCGACGCUUAUGCGUUGUUGGGUAGGGGAGCGUUCUGUAAGCCUGUGAAGGUGUGCUGUGAGGUAUGCUGGAGGUAUCAGAAGUGCGAAUGCUGACAUAAGUAACGAUAAAGCGGGUGAAAAGCCCGCUCGCCGGAAGACCAAGGGUUCCUGUCCAACGUUAAUCGGGGCAGGGUGAGUCGACCCCUAAGGCGAGGCCGAAAGGCGUAGUCGAUGGGAAACAGGUUAAUAUUCCUGUACUUGGUGUUACUGCGAAGGGGGGACGGAGAAGGCUAUGUUGGCCGGGCGACGGUUGUCCCGGUUUAAGCGUGUAGGCUGGUUUUCCAGGCAAAUCCGGAAAAUCAAGGCCGAGGCGUGAUGACGAGGCACUACGGUGCUGAAGCAACAAAUGCCCUGCUUCCAGGAAAAGCCUCUAAGCAUCAGGUAACAUCAAAUCGUACCCCAAACCGACACAGGUGGUCAGGUAGAGAAUACCAAGGCGCUUGAGAGAACUCGGGUGAAGGAACUAGGCAAAAUGGUGCCGUAACUUCGGGAGAAGGCACGCUGAUACGUAGGUGAAGCGACUUGCUCGUGGAGCUGAAAUCAGUCGAAGAUACCAGCUGGCUGCAACUGUUUAUUAAAAACACAGCACUGUGCAAACACGAAAGUGGACGUAUACGGUGUGACGCCUGCCCGGUGCCGGAAGGUUAAUUGAUGGGGUUAGCGCAAGCGAAGCUCUUGAUCGAAGCCCCGGUAAACGGCGGCCGUAACUAUAACGGUCCUAAGGUAGCGAAAUUCCUUGUCGGGUAAGUUCCGACCUGCACGAAUGGCGUAAUGAUGGCCAGGCUGUCUCCACCCGAGACUCAGUGAAAUUGAACUCGCUGUGAAGAUGCAGUGUACCCGCGGCAAGACGGAAAGACCCCGUGAACCUUUACUAUAGCUUGACA
rnacentral:rRNA from 1 species